GAAUGUGGAAACUGUGGGGAAUGGGGGGAAGAAUUGGAGCCUGGCCAGGCGUCGUUGCAGCGACAGUACGCACGAGGAGCUCGUCGCUCCUAGGUGCUCUACGACGCCGACGUCGAAGAUGCGUUUCUGCGAAGAGUUUUAAUUCUACCCUUAUCUCUUAUUUACGGACCUCGAAAAAUGAUAUCACAGGAAUAAUGAAAUAUUGAAAAAAAGGGAUCCAGAAGUGAAGAACACGAACUUGGGAAGUUGAAGACGCCGGGACGGUGAAGUCUUAAAAUGACCUGAAGAUUUCAUUGCCCCUUGCCGAAUGCUCGCCCCUGAUCAAGACGCGCAAGCUGCCCACGUUUGUAGUUCAAUGAGCGCGAAGAAACUUGAACUUUCAGCUUAUGUGUCCAGCUGAUUUUUGAAGUUUUAAUAGCCGUUCCUGUACUUCGGUUGUGGACUAGGCGAUUAUAUAAUGUUAAGCGCAUUUGUAUAUAAAGGAAAGUUAACUGUAGAUUAGAGUUGUCGCUAGUCCAAACCGGGGACUAUCAAUUUUGGAGGUCCCAAGUUAGUCAGUAGAAGCUUUGUGAACUAACCAGCAAAAGCGCUACGUUAUUAAAAAAACUCUCUGAUUUGUUUUUUAUAGAAUAGAUAUGAGUUCUAUUAAAUAAUAUUAGUAAUAGUGUCGGUAAGGGUUAAUACUAGUAAAAAUUAUUUUCAAUACAAGCGUGAAUAAGAGUAUUAUUUAACUAUGCAUAUUAUUUGAUAAGAAUAUUUACAAGUUGCGUACCUUUCAUAUACUCCUGUGAAGUCCAUUACCAAUGGACUGGCAAAGAAAGCAUCCACUGUUGCGUGAGGUAUACUCCAAAAGUCCAUACGAUCGGCCUAGAUCAUCCAAUUUACACAAAAGAGGUGCAUAAAAAUCUAGCUUAAUAGAUAUACAAUUUACUUAUAGAUUUAAAUAUAUUAUCUUAUUAUACAAAUAGAACAGUUGACACCACCUAUAGAGUGGUAUGUUUACAAAUUGUGCAAUAAUUACAUGGGUUUGGCUGUGGUUGUUAUAUAUUUUUAGUGACUAUUUAGUUAACGGUAAAAUUUUGAUGUGUAAAUAACCGGAACGCGUACCUUUAGACACUGGCAUUUUUUUGUUUUGAAACAGUACAAGUAACAAACACACUCAAAUCUGUAAGGUUGGGCUAGUGAUAUCUACAAUAGCUGUGUAGUUAUAGCACCCUCUAUACAAGGGAAAAAAUUUAAAUAUAUUCUAUAGUUAGUGGCCUUUCAGGACUAUAUUUACACCAUACGCAUGGCUCAAUUUAUGUACUAUAUCAAACGAUUGAUUCUAAUUAUUACAAAAAUUAGAGUAUUCUCUGCUCUUUAUACAUUGUAUUAUGCGAUAUUAUAGGAAUAAAAUGGUUUGAGGAA